rnacentral:rRNA from 18 species
GGCGUGCCUUUUGCAUAAUGAGCCUACGAGUUACUCCUCACUAGCAAGGUUAAGGAUUUAAGAUCUGGAGCCGAAGCGAAAGCAAGUCUGAAUAGGGCGUUUAGUUAGUGGGGGUAGACGCGAAACCGUGUGAUCUACCCAUGGCCAGGUUGAAGCUCUGGUAACACAGAGUGGAGGACCGAACCAGUUGACGUUGAAAAGUCUUUGGAUGAGUUGUGGGUAGGGGUGAAAGGCCAAUCAAACCGGGAAAUAGCUCGUACUCCCCGAAAUGCUUUUAGGAGCA